UAACGCUUUUAAGCGUAUAUACUGAACAACACUUGGACGGAACAGAAAAAAAUUUCAAAAUAAUAAUUGAAAACUAUGUUGCAAGAAUCGCCCGAUAACCGGAACCUAUGAAACAGAACACUGCGCGUGCGCUGUGCCGCGUAAGUGAGGUGGGCCAGGGGUAAGACGUCUUCUUCGAGCUCCGCCAGCCCAAUUUUCACACACAAAUUUAUAGGUUUCUUCACUAGUUCGGUGUUAAUCCUUGGUUUCAGCGGAAUCUGUGCACAUUUUUGGUGUCGACGGUCGGGAUCUUUAGUCAGAAAAGGGUUUGGAAAUUUUCGUAUGUUAGAAAAGACUGGUAGAACUGGAAAGUAGAUUAUAAAAUGCUCCGUAUAAUUAUUGUCGCCAACUGACUACGUAUAUGGAGCACAAUCCCAGAACAAAAAAGUCGCUCAGGUGGUCUUGCCAUUUGAAGUUUCACUAUAUCAACAAGGGUCCACCCUUGGGCCCUGUCCUGAGUCAGGAUUUCCAUGGAAGCCUUGCCAAUGAACUACAAUACACCAUCAUACUACAAACAUUUGUAAAAAGUGUAUGAUCUAAAACUCACAGCAUCACAUACCUUGAUAAUGGGGACACAGAUGGUCCCUGAAACAUCAGUGAGUGUUCACUAUUUGACAUGGCUGGUAACCUUAGAGGACUUUAAGUAUAUUAAUUAUAAAACUGAAAAAAUUGAUGCAGAAAUAAAUGUAGAUAAAAGGACUUACUUGACCAUGUCCAGACAGACAAAAUCUUUGUAACCGGUGUAUUUUAUAUCAAAUUAAAUGCUUAUAUAAUAAUUAUUGUUUCAAACAAAGCAUAUUUCUGGGUAAAAGGACCUUUGUAAACAUUGACAAAAUUAAAGAAAAACACUUUUUUAACUGUUAAAAACAGUAAUCUUAUGUUAAGCAUAGACAAAGUCUGCAGUAAGAUUUGCUCCAAUCUAUUUAUAAUUAAGGCAGUGUGUGAAUUUAUGGUUAAGUGUACCCAUUCCUUUUAUAUGUUAUGUUUUUGGGCAGCCCUAAGAAGCACUGAAUACCAGACUAAUAAGUAUACAAAAAAGGGUAGUCAGUUUGUAUUCCUAUAGCAAACUGAUUCCUGCAAGCUGACCUUAUACUCUUUAAUACAUACAAGAAACAAAUUCAUUUGGAAAAUAAGUACAGGUAUGUCCAAUUAUAAAGUACAUAUUUAUAAAACUAAAAUUAGCUCGGAACUACCAUAAACGCAAUGUCA